rnacentral:rRNA from 1 species
CCACCUGCCCACCACUUGGGGAUAACCUUGCGAAAGUAAGACUAAUACCCAAUGACGUCUCUAGAAGACAUCUGAAGGAGAUUAAAGAUUUAUCGGUGAUGGAUGGGGAUGCGUCUGAUUAGCUUGUUGGCGGGGUAACGGCCCACCAAGGCGACGAUCAGUAGGGGUUCUGAGAGGAAGGUCCCCCACAUUGGAACUGAGACACGGUCCAAACUCCUACGGGAGGCAGCAGUGAGGAAUAUUGGUCAAUGGGCGAGAGCCUGAACCAGCCAAGUAGCGUGCAGGAUGACGGCCCUAUGGGUUGUAAACUGCUUUUAUAAGGGAAUAAAGUGAGUCUCGUGAGACUUUUUGCAUGUACCUUAUGAAUAAGGACCGGCUAAUUCCGUGCCAGCAGCCGCGGUAAUACGGAAGGUCCGGGCGUUAUCCGGAUUUAUUGGGUUUAAAGGGAGCGUAGGCCGGAGAUUAAGCGUGUUGUGAAAUGUAGACGCUCAACGUCUGCACUGCAGCGCGAACUGGUUUCCUUGAGUACGCACAAAGUGGGCGGAAUUCGUGGUGUAGCGGUGAAAUGCUUAGAUAUCACGAAGAACUCCGAUUGCGAAGGCAGCUCACUGGAGCGCAACUGACGCUGAAGCUCGAAAGUGCGGGUAUCGAACAGGAUUAGAUACCCUGGUAGUCCGCACGGUAAACGAUGGAUGCCCGCUGUUGGUCUGAACAGGUCAGCGGUCAAGCGAAAGCAUUAAGCAUCCCACCUGGGGAGUAC